CCUACGGGAGGCAGCAGUCGAGAAUCAUUCACAAUGGGGGAAACCCUGAUGGUGCGACGCCGCGUGGGGGAAUGAAGGUCUUCGGAUUGUAAACCCCUGUCAUGUGGGAGCAAAUUAAAAAGAUAGUACCACAAGAGGAAGAGACGGCUAACUCUGUGCCAGCAGCCGCGGUAAUACAGAGGUCUCAAGCGUUGUUCGGAAUCACUGGGCUUAAAGCGUGCGUAGGCUGUUUCGUAAGUCGUGUGUGAAAGGCGCGGGCUCAACCCGCGGACGGCACAUGAUACUGCGAGACUAGAGUAAUGGAGGGGGAACCGGAAUUCUCGGUGUAGCAGUGAAAUGCGUAGAUAUCGAGAGGAACCCUCGUGGCGAAGGCGGGUUCCUGGACAUUAACUGACGCUGAGGCACGAAGGCCAGGGGAGCGAAAGGGAUUAGAUACCCGAGUAGUC
rnacentral:rRNA from 1 species